GGAGUUAGCCGGUUCUUCUUCUGCGAGUAACGUCACAGAUGUAAGGUAUUAACUUACACCCUUUCCUCCUCGCUGAAAGUGCUUUACAACCCGAAGGCCUUCUUCACACACGCGGCAUGGCUGCAUCAGGGUUUCCCCCAUUGUGCAAUAUUCCCCACUGCUGCCUCCCGUAGGAGUCUGGGCCGUGUCUCAGUCCCAGUGUGGCUGAUCAUCCUCUCAGACCAGCUAGGGAUCGUCGCCUAGGUGAGCCUUUACCUCACCUACUAGCUAAUCCCACCUGGGCUUAUCCAUCAGCGCAAGGCCCGAAGGUCCCCUGCUUUCCCCCGUAGGGCGUAUGCGGUAUUAGCAGUCGUUUCCAACUGUUAUCCCCCACAAAUGGGCAAAUUCCCAGGCAUUACUCACCCGUCCGCCGCUCGUCAUCUUCAAAAGCAAGCUUUUGAAAUGUUACCGCUCGACUUGCAUGUGUUAGGCCUGCCGCCAGCGUUCAAUCUGAGCCAGGAUCAAACUCUGA
rnacentral:rRNA from 1 species